AUUGAACGCUGGCGGCAGGCCUAACACAUGCAAGUCGAACGAGUGGCGGACGGGUUAGUAAUGUCUGGGAAUCUGCCUGAUGGAGGGGGUUAGCUACUGGAAACUGUUGCCAAUUCCGCACACCAUCGGCUGUGCCCGGAUGGGUUUGGCUUGUGGGUGGGGUAAAGGCUCACCUAGGCGACGAUCCCUAGCUGGUCUGAGAGGAUGACCAGCCACACUGGAACUGAGACACGGUCCAGACUCCUACGGGAGGCAGCAGUGGGGAAUAUUGCACAAUGGGCGCAAGCCUGAUGCAGCCAUGCCGCGUGUAUGAAGAAGGCCUUCGGGUUGUAAAGUACUUUCAGCGGGGAGGCGUUACCCGCAGAAGAAGCACCGGCUAACUCCGUGCCAGCAGCCGCGGUAAUUC
rnacentral:rRNA from 1 species